AUUUGUGAAUAAUAUAUAUAUAUAUAUCAUUCAUUCGUUUACCCUUGUGGCAAACAACCCAAAUUAAACAAAACGGACUUGGGUGUGUUUCCUGACCGCACGCGAGUGGGGGGUGGCAGCUGAGAGGCACUUCGGUGUCGGCUUCUGGGCCACCUCUUGUGGGUGUGUGGGGACCUGUCAGAGUUCAGGCGACC
rfam:Bottlenose dolphin coronavirus HKT22 isolate CF090327, complete genome.